rnacentral:tRNA from 1 species
GGGUCCAUAGCUCAGCUGGUUAGAGCGCAUGUCUGAUACACAUGAGGUCGAUGGUCCGAAUCCAUCUGGACCCACCA